GAUGGCUUUGGCUAGCUGCACAGAAGCCCUCACCAGGUCCUCUCAAUUCACCAUUGUGACAGCUUUCAGUUGCCCUGUCCUCCUUGCCUCAAUGGCUCAGCCCCAGGCCACUCUUCUGGUGGGGAUCGGUGGGGAUCAGCACAGCGGGCAGGCUCUGGCACCUCCUUGCUCUGAUUCAUUCUCAACAUGAAAUCAUGAUUUGCUGGGUGCCGGUUACAGAGUCUUGAAACUCUAACUGAUGAAGCAUCAGUGUGGCCCCAGGGAGAUCUCACCCAGCAUACAAAAAGCGUCGGGUUCAAUCCCCAGCAACCCUCCAAAUAAUAACGCAACAGGACCAAAGAUGGCCCAUGAAAAGAAGAUGGCAGCACACCUGACUCUGACCCUCAGAACCCACAAGGUAGGCACCAGGCGGGAAACUGCUCAACUUCUCCAGACCUUAACCUUCCCACCUGCUCCACAAGGAUGCUAGCGCUCCACUCAGAAGUGCGUGUUCCUCGCUAAGGUCAGGUGAGGCGCUACUCUGCUGCUCUCCCUACCAUAAACAAGCUGCCGUUCACAAUCAGCCUGGUGUCAAGUUUUUCACAGAUUCCUGCUUUGUCGGUGUUUAAAACAAUCCCCAAACAUGAUAAUAAAGUGCUGGGUAGUGUUUCCAAACACAGAUGCAAGGCUGAGCCAUCUCUCCAGGCCCU
rnacentral:lncRNA from 1 species